rnacentral:rRNA from 1 species
GAUCUGGCUUAGGAUGAACGCUAGCGACAGGCUUAACACAUGCAAGUCGAGGGGCAGCAUAAAAGUAGCAAUACUUGGUGGCGACCGGCGCACGGGUGAGUAACGCGUAUGCAACCUACCUAUCAGAGGGGAAUAACCCGGCGAAAGUCGGACUAAUACCGCAUAAAACAGGGGCACCGCAUGGUGAUAUUUGUUAAAGAAAUUCGCUGAUAGAUGGGCAUGCGUUCCAUUAGGUAGUUGGUGAGGUAACGGCUCACCAAGCCGACGAUGGAUAGGGGAACUGAGAGGUUGGUCCCCCACACUGGUACUGAGACACGGACCAGACUCCUACGGGAGGCAGCAGUGAGGAAUAUUGGUCAAUGGGCGGGAGCCUGAACCAGCCAAGUCGCGUGAAGGAAAGAAGGAUCUAUGGUUCGUAAACUUCUUUUGCAGGGGAAUAAAGUGCAGGACGUGUCCUGUUUUGUAUGUACCCUGAGAAUAAGGAUCGGCUAACUCCGUGCCAGCAGCUGC